CCUCCGCCCUCCCCGCACAGGAGGGUGGACCGGGGACCCGGCACUCUCUGCCCUGACUGUUCCGGCUCCCCCAGACCGGCCCACGGGACCGCACACCCGACGGCCGG
rnacentral:ncRNA from 1 species